ensembl:lncRNA
CUGCGCUGUGCCGUGGGGACUCCGGACAGAUGUGCUGUGCCAUAGGGAUGCCGUGGGGCUGAGCUGUGCCAUGGGGUGCCGUGGGGACACCAUGGUGCCACCGCGUCCCUCUGUGCCACAGCUGCACCCGGCAGAGCCGCUCAACCGCAGCCGGCGCCCGGAGCUGAGCGGUGAUGCCGGUGUGGGGCGUGGUGACGCCGCGGCACAGCUGUGUGCUGGCAGUGCUGUGCCGUGUGGUGACCGUGGCAAAGAGGCAGCAGCGCUGCUGGCAGCACUGAGUGAUGGUGGAUCCACGGUGCCACGCCGCGGCACCGGCACUGCCGGGGAGGAGGAGGAGGAGGAGGAGGAAGCAGAGCUGGCGUUGGCACUGCAGUGCUCCAUGGAGGAGGAGGAGGAGGAGGAGGAAGAGGAAGCACAGCUGGCGCUGGCGCUGCAGCGAUCCAUGAAGGAGAAGGAGGAGGAAGAGGAGGAGGAAGCACAGCUGGCACUGGCGCUACAGCGAUCCAUGAAGGAGGAAGAGGAGGAGGAAGAAGAGGAGGAGGAAGUACAGCUGGCCAUAGCACUGCAGUGCUCCAUGGAGGAGAAGAAAGAGGAGGAGGAGGAGGAGGAAGCACAGCUGGCAAUGGCACUGCAGCGAUCCAUGAAGGAGGAAGAGGAGGAGGAAGCACAGCUGGCAUUGGCGCUGCAGCGAUCCAUGAAGGAGGAAGAGGAGGAGGAAGCACAGCUGGCAAUGGCACUGAGGCGGUCCAUGAAGGAGGAAGAGGAGGAGGAGGAGGAAGAGGAAGAGGAGGAGGAAGAAGAGGAGGAAGCGCAGCUGGCGCUGGCACUGCAGCGAUCCAUGCAGGAGAAAAAGGAGGAAGAGGAGGAGGAAGCACAGCUGGCACUGGCGCUGCAGUGCUCGAUGGAGGAGGAGGAGGAGGAGGAAGCCCAGCUGGCAAUAGCACUGCAGCGAUCCAUGCAGGAGAAAAAGGAGGAAGAGGAGGAGGAAGCCCAGCUGGCACUGGCGCUGUGCUGCUCUAUGGAGAAGGAGGAAGAGGAGGAGGAGGAGGAGGAUGAAGCACAGCUGGCGGCGCAGAGCCGCCCCCCGCCGGACGUGGCGGAGCUGCAGAUUUUCGCGGCGUCGCGGCGCGAUGCUGCAGUGGUGGCGGUGGAGCUGCGGCGGGCGCUGGCAGCGGAGCUGAAGGCGGUGAGGCUGCGGGACGCGGCGCUGCCGGCGCUGCCGGAUGGAAGCCUGGCGAUGCUGCGGCGCCGGCACGCGGUGCAGCUGCGGAUCCGGGGAUGCAGCGCCACGCUGAGAGGAUUUGCGGAGUUCGUCGGCGACGCCGAGCGGGAGCUGAGGGAGAUGCUGGGCGACGGGAAACGGGACGGAGAUGGGGGGACUGGUGAGUGGGGGGGGAAGGCAACGCAGGGCACUGGGAGUGCGCUCUGAGUGCACACUGAGUGCACGCUCAGAGUGGUCAUUGAGUGCCCACUGAGUGCCCAUUGAGUGGUCAUUGAGUGGUCAUUGAGUGGACAUUGAGUGGCCAUUGAGUGCCCACUGAGUGCCCACUGAGUGCCCAUUGAGUGCCCUUUGAGUGGCCACUGAGUGCCCAUUGAGUGACCAUUGAGUGGCCAUUGAGUGCCCACUGAGUGCCCAUUGAGUGGUCAUUGAGUGCUCAUUGAGUGCCCACUGAGUGCCCACUGAGUGCUCAUUGAGUGCCCACUGAGUGCUCACUGAGUGCCCAUUGAGUGCCCUUUGAGUGGCCACUGAGUGCCCACUGAGUGCCCAUUGAGUGGUCAUUGAGUGGACAUUGAGUGGCCAUUGAGUGCCCACUCAGUGCUCAUUGAGUGCUCAUUAAGUCGUCAUUAAGUGCUCAAUGAGUGCCCAAUUGAGUGCCCACUCAGUGCCAGCUGAGUGCCCACUGAAUGCCCAUUGAGUGCCCACUGUGUGCCCAUUGAAUGUCCACUGAGUGCUCAUUAAGUGCUCAUUAAGUGCCCAUGAAGCGCCCAUGAAGCGCCCAUGAAGCGCCCAUUAAGUGCCCAUUAAGUGCUCAUUAAGCGCCCAUUGAGCGCCCAUUAAGUGCUCAUUAAGCGCGCAUGAAGCGCCCAUUAAGUGCUCAUUAGCGCCCAUUGAGCGCCCAUUAAGUGCUCAUUAAGCGCGCAUGAAGCGCCCAUUAAGUGCUCAUUAAGUGCUCAUUAAGCGCCCAUUAAGCGCCCAUUGAGCGCCCAUUGCGCGCCCAUUAAGUGCCCAUUGAGUGCCCAUUAAUCGCCCAUGAAGCGCCCAUUAAUUGCUCAUUAAUUGCUCAUUAAUCGCCCAUUAAUUGCUCAUUAAUCGCUCAUUAAUCGCCCAUUAAUCGCCCAUUAAUCGCCCAUUGCGCGCCCAUUGCGCGCUGGUUGCGCUGAGUGCCGCUGUCCCCGCAGCGCAGCCGUGGCGGCGCGCAGCGCGGUGU